rnacentral:rRNA from 1 species
GUGUCAGCCGCCGCGGUAAUACGUAGGGUGCGAGCGUUAAUCGGAAUUACUGGGCGUAAAGCGUGCGCAGGCGGUCUUGCAAGCUGGGUGUGAAAGCCCCGGGCUCAACCUGGGAGGUGCAUUCAGGACUGCGAGGCUGGAGUGCGGCAGAGGGAGGUGGAAUUCCACGUGUAGCAGUGAAAUGCGUAGAGAUGUGGAGGAACACCGAUGGCGAAGGCAGCCUCCUGGGCCGACACUGACGCUCAUGCACGAAAGCGUGGGGAGCAAACAGGAUUAGAAACCCUCGUAGUCC